AAUAGAUACCCGGGUAGUCCAUGCCGUAAACGAUGUCUACUAGCCGUUGGGGCCUUUGAGGCUUUAGUGGCGCAGCUAACGCGAUAAGUAGACCGCCUGGGGAGUACGGUCGCAAGACUAAAACUCAAAUGAAUUGACGGGGGCCCGCACAAGCGGUGGAGCAUGUGGUUUAAUUCGAUGCAACGCGAAGAACCUUACCUGGCCUUGACAUACUAAGAACUUUCUAGAGAUAGAUUGGUGCCUUCGGGAACUUAGAUACAGGUGCUGCAUGGCUGUCGUCAGCUCGUGUCGUGAGAUGUUGGGUUAAGUCCCGCAACGAGCGCAACCCUUUUCCUUAUUUGCCAGCGGGUUAAGCCGGGAACUUUAAGGAUACUGCCAGUGACAAACUGGAGGAAGGCGGGGACGACGUCAAGGUCAUCAUGGCCCUUACGGCCAGGGCUACACACGUGCUGCAAUGGUCGGUACAAAGGGUUGCUACCUAGCGAUAGGAUGCUAAUCUCAAAAAGCCGAUCGUAGUCCGGAUUGGAGUCUGCAACUCGACU
rnacentral:rRNA from 1 species